GAGGAUGUAGCUCAGUGGUAGAGUGCACGCUUAGCAUGCAGGAGGUCCUGGGUUCAAUCCCCAGUACCACUG
rnacentral:tRNA from 1 species